UACGUAGGGUCCAAGCGUUAUCCGGAAUCACUGGGCGUAAAGCGUCUGUAGGUGGUUCGAAAAGUCCACUGUUAAAAAUUGAGGCUUAACUUCAAAGAUGCCGUGGAAACUUUCAAACUAGAGUAUGGUAGGGGUAGAGGGAAUUUCCAGUGGAGCGGUGAAAUGCGUAGAUAUUGGAAAGACCACCGAUGGCGAAGGCACUCUACUGGGCCAUUACUGACACUGAGAGACGAAAGCUAGGGGAGCAAAUGGG
rnacentral:rRNA from 1 species